GACGAACCUUGGCGGCGUGCUUAACACAUGCAAGUCGAACGGAAAGGCCCUGCUUUUGUGGGGUGCUCGAGUGGCGAACGGGUGAGUAACACGUGAGUAACCUGCCCUUGACUUUGGGAUAACUUCAGGAAACUGGGGCUAAUACCGGAUAGGAGCUCCUGCUGCAUGGUGGGGGUUGGAAAGUUUCGGCGGUUGGGGAUGGACUCGCGGCUUAUCAGCUUGUUGGUGGGGUAGUGGCUUACCAAGGCUUUGACGGGUAGCCGGCCUGAGAGGGUGACCGGCCACAUUGGGACUGAGAUACGGCCCAGACUCCUACGGGAGGCAGCAGUGGGGAAUAUUGCACAAUGGGCGGAAGCCUGAUGCAGCAACGCCGCGUGCGGGAUGACGGCCUUCGGGUUGUAAACCGCUUUCGCCUGUGACGAAGCGUGAGUGACGGUAAUGGGUAAAGAAGCACCGGCUAACUACGUGCCAGCAGCCGCGGUGAUACGUAGGGUGCGAGCGUUGUCCGGAUUUAUUGGGCGUAAAGGGCUCGUAAGGUGGUUGAUCGCGUCGGAAGUGUAAUCUUGGGGCUUAACCCUGAGCGUGCUUUCGAUACGGGUUGACUUGAGGAAGGUAGGGGAGAAAUGGAAUUCCUGGUGGGAGCGGUGGAAUGCGCAGAUAUCAGGAGGAACACCAGUGGCGAAGGCGGUUCUCUGGGCCCUUUCCUGACGCUGAGGAGCGAAAGCGUGGGGAGCGAACAGGCUUAGAUACCCUGGUAGUCCACGCUGUAAACGGUGGGUACUAGGUGUGGGGUCCAUUCCACGGGUUCCGUGCCGUAGCUAACGCUUUAAGUACCCCGCCUGGGGAGUACGGCCGCAAGGCUAAAACUCAAAGGAAUUGACGGGGCCCCGCACAAGCGGCGGAGCAUGCGGAUUAAUUCGAUGCAACGCGUAGAACCUUACCUGGGUUUGACAUGGAUCGGGAGUGCUCAGAGAUGGGUGUGCCUCUUUUGGGGUCGGUUCACAGGUGGUGCAUGGCUGUCGUCAGCUCGUGUCGUGAGAUGUUGGGUUAAGUCCCGCAACGAGCGCAACCCUUGUUCACUGUUGCCAGCACGUUAUGGUGGGGACUCAGUGGAGACCGCCGGGGUCAACUCGGAGGAAGGUGGGGAUGACGUCAAGUCAUCAUGCCCCUUAUGUCCAGGGCUUCACGCAUGCUACAAUGGCUGGUACAGAGAGUGGCGAGCCUGUGAGGGUGAGCGAAUCUCGGAAAGCCGGUCUCAGUUCGGAUUGGGGUCUGCAACUCGACCUCAUGAAGUCGGAGUCGCUAGUAAUCGCAGAUCAGCAACGCUGCGGUGAAUACGUUCCCGGGGCU
rnacentral:rRNA from 1 species